rnacentral:rRNA from 1 species
AACGUAGGGUGCAAGCGUUAUCCGGAUUCACUGGGUGUAAAGCGCGUGCAGGUGGUCUCGUAAGUUGGACGUGAAAUCUUCUGGCUUAACUGGGAGAGGCCGUUCAAUACUGCGGGACUGGAGGGCAGGAGAGGGAGGUGGAAUUCCCGGUGUAGUGGUGAAAUGCGUAGAUAUCGGGAGGAACACCAGUGGCGAAGGCGGCCUCCUGGCCUGCUCCUGACGCUCAGACGCGAAAGCUAGGGGAGCGAACGGG